rnacentral:rRNA from 1 species
AUAGAACGCUGGCGGCAUGCCUUACACAUGCAAGUCGAACGGUAACGGGCCUUCGGGUGCCGACGAGUGGCGAACGGGUGAGUAAUGCAUCGGAACGUACCUUUCAGUGGGGGAUAACGUAGCGAAAGUUACGCUAAUACCGCAUAUUCUGUGAGCAGGAAAGCAGGGGAUCGCAAGACCUUGCGCUGAUUGAGCGGCCGAUGUCAGAUUAGCUAGUUGGUGAGGUAAAGGCUCACCAAGGCGACGAUCUGUAGCGGGUCUGAGAGGAUGAUCCGACACACUGGGACUGAGACACGGCCCAGACUCCUACGGGAGGCAGCAGUGGGGAAUUUUGGACAAUGGGGGCAACCCUGAUCCAGCCAUGCCGCGUGAGUGAAGAAGGCCUUCGGGUUGUAAAGCUCUUUCGGCCGGGAAGAAAUCGCACAGGCUAAUACCUUGUGUGGAUGACGGUACCGGAAUAAGAAGCACCGGCUAACUACGUGCCAGCCGCCGCGGUAAUAC